rnacentral:misc_RNA from 1 species
GAUGAAGAACGCAGCGAAAUGCGAUACUUGGUGUGAAUUGCAGAAUCCCGUGAACCAUCGAGUCUUUGAACGCAAGUUGCGCCCGAAGCCAUUAGGCCGAGGGCACGCCUGCCUGGGCGUCACACGUCGUUGCCCCCCCAUCUACUCCUUCGGGAUCGCGGGGGGCGGAUGAUGGCCUCCCGUGCGCCUCGUCGCGCGGUUGGCAUAAAUGCCAAGUCCUCGGCGACGCACGCCACGACAAUCGGUGGUUGCGAAACCUCGGUUGCCCGUCGUGUGCGGUCGUCGCGCAUCGAGGGCUCGAAAAAAUUGCCGGGCUCCGGCUCGGCUUUCAACGCGACCCCAGGUCAGGCGGGGUUACCCGCUGAAUUUAAGCAUAUCAAUAAGCGGAGGA